rnacentral:lncRNA from 1 species
AGGAGCAAGUAGGAUUUCAUGAUCCUCUCCUCCCAUUCAAAGGGGUGCUCUUCAUGGCGUGUAGGGGUGCCACUAUAAGGUCCCAUGAAGAAAAAAGUAAAAAAAAAACUUACUUUCUUGCAAAAUCCUAGAUCUUGAAACCCUAGGUGUUGUUGUAUGUGUGCAAGUUGUGAAGAUAGUUAGUUACAUCUAAUCUUGUUUAGUUAGAA